UUCUCCAGGCCUACCCAUGCCGUUGCAAAAGGAAAGAGCACUCCUUUCUGCAACCUUCCCAUGGAACUAAGUGCAGACCAUCUGUGAGUUCUCACCAUACCUCACUCGGCUGACGUGGAGAUCAGAAUUACUGCAAAAAUACCAGGAAAGGCCUCUUCCAUUCUACUACAAAGUGUUCAAGCACCACCUUACAAAACAGACUGUGUGCUUGCUCAAUCGUUUUAUGGACUCAGGCUCAAGAACAUCAAUCAUGGCGAAAGUGACAGGAAAUAAUAAAAAGAUUAACAGCUCAACAUCAAGAAGCACCUAUGUACUGCCUAUGCGGAAAGUGUCGAAUGUGAGGCUGGCUGAGGACCAAGCUACAAGAAAACUUUAAAAUCUGUAUCAAGAUUCUAGCACUACUUCUGGCUUCUUAAAAAAAUCUCAAGCACAAAAUUGUCUUCUCUGCACCAUUAGCUGCUGUGGAUGGGUGCGCUUGGGCAAGCCCAUCGUGCAAGAGCCAUCCACCUGCCUUCUCUCAGCAGAAUGAGCUAUUUGCACUUAAUACUAUUCUCUCUCAUUCAGUUUUUUUGUGUAACCUGGGUUUCAUUUUCUGAUGUUUUUAGAAUACCCCCUAAUAUUCUAAAAGAAUUAAAAAACUUAAAUUCUAUUACA